UACCGGAAGGUGCACUUGGAUGG
rnacentral:rRNA from 1 species